rnacentral:rRNA from 1 species
UGAACGACUCUCGGCAACGGAUAUCUUGGCUCUCGCAUCGAUGAAGAACGUAGCGAAAUGCGAUACUUGGUGUGAAUUGCAGAAUCCCGUGAACCAUCGAGUUUUUGAACGCAAGUUGCACCCGAAGCCUUUNGGCCAGGGCACGUCUGCCUGGGCGUCACGC